GUAUUUACAACUUCUACUAGUGGCAGAGCUUUUGAGUCUAUUGAAAUCUUUGAACAAGACCCAUCUGUAAGGAAAGCUUUGAUAGUAUGCAGAGUAAUAGCUGGGAGAGUUCAUAAGCCUUUGGAUAAUAUACAAGAAAUAUCUGGCCAAACAGGGUUUGAUUCAUUAGCAGGAAAAGUUGGUCUCUACUCAAAUAUUGAGGAGCUGUAUCUUCUAAAUCCCAGAGCUCUUCUUCCUUGCUUUGUGGUAAUCUGCAAAACCUGACCAGAAGACAGUAAAAGAAUCACUUACAAUUUGCUAUCAAGUUAUGUGAAUCCCUUUUUUAAUCUUUUGAUGAUAGAAGAUUCUUCUCAAUCUUCUAUUUUGAAGAAAUUUGAUUCUUCCUCUUACAAUCUUUCUGCCCUUUUUUUAGUGUAAUUGUUUCUGCCCUUAUUUACAGUUGCAUAAUUUCUUCAUUUUCUUGUCCAUUUUUAAGAUCAAUGAUGCAUAUAUUUCAAAUUAGAUUGCUGUUAUUUGCACAUAUAUAAACAUGGAGACCAUUCUUUUUUCUAAGUUGAAUAUGGUUAUCUGUAUUGGUGAAGAAAUUGAAAGUACAUGGAUUUUGUAGUAUAAUAAUAUGUAUAACUUCUGACAAGCUAGAGCAUCAAGGCACAAUGCAGAUGUAGGCAUCUCACUUCAGUUAUGAGCUGGCAAUACAAUUUGAAAAGUACUUGGAUACAGAGUUUGAUUUGAUUUACUUGAAAACUCCAAAGAAACAAAUAAUUAUAUGAAUCAUGCCCAGAAGUCACAUUUGAGAAACAGAGAAAGUUUAUAUACCUAGCUUGAUUCUACAUAGUUUUGAAUAUAAAUUCUUCAAUGUAAAUUUGUGUGAUUUGCUUCACAUGCUUGCAAGGCAUUAUUUGAUGUAUGUAAACUGGAAAGUUUGCAUGUGGGCUUUGUUGGAAGGUUAAGGUUGAAACAAAAGGCUAGCCCAAACCAAGAGGACAAUUAUGUGCUCACUAUAUGACUUUGAUUUUGUCAGUUCUGUUCCCAGUUUCGGUCACUAUUUGAAUUUAUGCCUGAAUAUCCUUGUUCUGUUUUUUGCCUUUUUUUCCUUUUUUGGUUUGGUUUUUCCUCUGUAGCUUGACUCAAAAGCUCUGCCACUAGUAAAGAUUUCAUUGUAUGGCUUGUUUCAAUGUCUAGAUAGUUAGGCUUUUUCUGUAAUAAAGAUGGUUAUUUAUUGUGCAAAGAAAAGGGAGCUUGUCAUUCAUAUAGUAGACUAUAUGUCUAUAUCUCAUGUAUUGAAUAUGCGGAUAUUGUUUGAAAUUCAACGAUCUUAUCAUAUUCAUGAGGACAGUGUUUGUUUAGGGAGUGAAACAAAGGAAGAGAAGUGAUGUCAAAUGUAAGUUUGAUAGAUUUUUUAAAUCAUUAUUGUCUUGUAUGUUUAAUGAAUAUCAUCGACAAAGAAGUCAGAGAUUGAACUGAAUAAUGCUUAUUGUCUUAAUUCUGAAAGUUACAAGGCAGUAUAUUUAUACAAUAAUUCUAAUAUAGUAAUAUUCUAAAUUAGGAAAUUAGGAUAUACAAAAAAUAUAAAUAUUUCUUUUACAACCUUUUAGGAACCUUAGGAAAUAUCUCAUGUCCCAUCUUGCAAAUUAAAUUAUGGAAAUAUUUGCUAUUGAUUCCCUUAAUGAAAAUAUCAAUCAACUGAUUCCAUAAAUCACACAAGCAAUAUCCGAAACUCCACUAUUUAGUUUCUCUUUGAUGAAAUAUUGAUUGAAUUUUUAUGUGUGUUGUUUAAUCAUGCUGAACUAGAAUGUUGGGCAAUGCUAAUGGCAGUCUUAUUAUUGCAGUAUAAGGACACUUUUUUUUUUUAAAUCCAGCAAUUCUAGCUCCUGUAUUGAUCUCUGAAUCCAUAGAAGUUCACAAACACCUUGAGCCAUGACUCUGUAUUUAGCCUUUGUACUUGAUCUUGUCACUAUGUUAUGCUUCUUGCUUCUCCAUGUGUCUAGAUUUCCAUUGAAAAAUGUGCAAUAACCCUAUGUAGAUCCACCUUAAUUUGCAUCUAUAUAGCCUUCUACUUUUAGAUGACCAUGUUUGGCAAGCAACCGUCUCUUGGAGCUGAUUUCAGAUAACUUAAAGUACGAAGUACAGCUUCUAAAUGUGAAUCCGGAGGAUUGUAUGCAUAAAUUGACUAAUACCACUUGAAGCAAAAGAUCAUGCAUAAAUUUUCUUGUCUAAAUACGGUUCUGGUGCAGAAAUCCACCGCUUUGGGGAACAGUGAAAUAUCUCUCUGAGAAAAUUCCAAAAGAUACUUCUAGCAAGGUGCGGAUAAAUCGCGAUCUCUAUUCUCAUGAAAAAAUAAUGGAGACAGCACCGACAUUGCCCGAUUUUGCUUUGUCCUUGAAACUCGACGAGUAUCAACUUCCUUCGCUGGAUUCAUCUUGGAACGAAGAGAAUGUGAAUGGAGGGUAAGCCUAUUCCGACAAAUCAAGAGUGAAGGCUGUUUGUAAUCUUUGCAGAAAGAAGCUAUACUAGAAAAGCCAUCUCAAAAACUUGGAGUGGCCAAUUAAACAGGUGUAUCAUUCUUCAACUGUGUACCAAAGGUCCACUUUAGCCCCACAUUUUUUAAGUAAAGUUUUCUUUUUCUUUUCCAAGAUUUCUUUUCCAACCUUAAAGCUUUGUAGCUUACCCUGUAAUAGAGCUUUGUGCAAGUUCCCGUUGUGUGUAAAUUUCUUACUGCGAAAAAAGAAUUGUUUUCCUUGCUUGUAAAAUUGAUUAUAGCAAUAAACAUGAUUUUCUCUCUC